rnacentral:rRNA from 1 species
UACGAAGGGUGCAGGCGUUACUCGGAAUUACUGGGCGUAAAGCGUGCGUAGGUGGUUUGUUAAGUCUGAUGUGAAAGCCCUGGCUCAACCUGGGAAUUGCAUUGGAUACUGGCAGGCUAGAGUGCGGUAGAGGAUGGCGGAAUUCCCGGUGUAGCAGUGAAAUGCGUAGAGAUCGGGAGGAACAUCUGUGGCGAAGGCGGCCAUCUGGACCAGCACUGACACUGAGGCACGAAAGCGUGGGGAGCAAACAGG